CUCGCGGGACGUCGCCAGAGCACCGAACAGGUUGAAACGCCGCGCGCGAGAG
rnacentral:misc_RNA from 1 species